rnacentral:rRNA from 1 species
GAUGAACGCUGGCGGCGUGCCUAAUACAUGCAAGUCGAGCGAAUGGAUUAAGAGCUUGCUCUUAUGAAGUUAGCGGCGGACGGGUGAGUAACACGUGGGUAACCUGCCCAUAAGACUGGGAUAACUCCGGGAAACCGGGGCUAAUACCGGAUAACAUUUUGAACCGCAUGGUUCGAAAUUGAAAGGCGGCUUCGGCUGUCACUUAUGGAUGGACCCGCGUCGCAUUAGCUAGUUGGUGAGGUAACGGCUCACCAAGGCAACGAUGCGUAGCCGACCUGAGAGGGUGAUCGGCCACCCUGGGACUGAGACCCGGCCCAGACUCCUACGGGAGGCAGCAGUAGGGAAUCUUCCGCAAUGGACGAAAGUCUGACGGAGCAACGCCGCGUGAGUGAUGAAGGCUUUCGGGUCGUAAAACUCUGUUGUUAGGGAAGAACAAGUGCUAGUUGAAUAAGCUGGCACCUUGACGGUACCUAACCAGAAAGCCACGGCUAGCUACGUGCCAGCCGCCGCGGUAA